UGCUGAUGCAGAACAUGUGGAGGGUGCAUUUUACUGGGUUCUGAAUGAACAGGCUUUGGCAGAAGCACAGUCUUUUUCUUAUUGGCUGGGUAGAAUGUGAGAAACCCCUAUGAUGGUCAGAGGAAAGGAGGGGUAACUUGAUAACAGCAGUAGCUCCCCUGGCUGUGAUUGCAGGUCCACAAUUGAUCCUAAAUGGGAAGAAUUAUGAAGACGUCCAUUGGAGCUUUGUUCAUGUUCUUGUGGCUGCAGCUGGACCGGGUAAGCCAUGGAGAGAAAGUGGAUCAGCAUCCUUCUACCCUGAAUGUCCAGGAGGGAAACACCGCUGUUAUCAACUGUUCUUAUUCCGACAGUCUCUCUGACUACUUUCCUUGGUAUAAGCAAGAACCUGGAAAAGGUCCCCAGUUCAUUACAGACAUUCGUUCAAAUAAGGACAAAAACCAAGCUGGAAGACUCACCGUUUUUUUGAAUAAGGCGGCCAAACAUCUCUCCCUGCACAUGGCAGCCACCCAACCUGGAGACUCAGCUGUCUACUUCUGUGCAGCGAGUACACAUUGCUUCCCAGGCACCUGCAUCCUGUACACAAACCUGCGAGGGGGCAGCCCCCUCUGCCUGGGACAGACCUGCAUUUGUCUUAUUGCUUAUUUGCAAGUGGAAAAUAGUGUGUUGGUAUAAAAACACUUAAUAAGAGGUCAGUUUCAAGAUGACCCAGAAAGGGUUAUAACAUAUGGUUGGAUGUUUGUUGCUUAAUGGAUUCUUGAAGUGAAUUAGUAAUGUUUAAGUUUGAAACUUAGGCUUUAAAGAUGACUUUAUAUUUGCCAUUCAAACUCCUGUCCUAUAAAAAAUCCCUUAGCAUUAAUAUAACAA